UACGGGGGGGGCAAGCGUUGUUCGGAAUUACUGGGCGUAAAGGGUUCGUAGGUGGCUGGCUAAGUCAGACGUGAAAUCCCUCAGCUUAACUGGGGAACUGCGUCUGAGACUGGUCAGCUUGAGUGGCAGGAGGAGGAACGCGGAAUUCCAGGUGUAGCGGUGAAAUGCGUAGAUAUCUGGAGGAACACCGGUGGCGAAGGCG
rnacentral:rRNA from 1 species